rnacentral:rRNA from 1 species
UGGGGAAUUUUGGACAAUGGGCGAAAGCCUGAUCCAGCAAUGCCGCGUGUGUGAAGAAGGCCUUCGGGUUGUAAAGCACUUUUGUCCGGAAAGAAAUCCUUGGCUCUAAUACAGUCGGGGGAUGACGGUACCGGAAGAAUAAGCGCCGGCUAACUACGUGCCAGCAGCCGCGGUAAUACGUAGGGUGCAAGCGUUAAUCGGAAUUACUGGGCGUAAAGCGUGCGCAGGCGGUUUGCUAAGACCGAUGUGAAAUCCCCGGGCUCAACCUGGGAACUGCAUUGGUGACUGGCAGGCUAGAGUAUGGCAGAGGGGGGUAGAAUUCCACGUGUAGCAGUGAAAUGCGUAGAGAUGUGGAGGAAUACCGAUGGCGAAGGCAGCCCCCUGGGCCAAUACUGACGCUCAUGCACGAAAGCGUGGGGAGCAAACAGGAUUAGAUACCCUGGUAGUCCACGCCCUAAACGAUGUCAACUAGUUGUUGGGGAUUCAUUUCCUUAGUAACGUAGCUAACGCGUGAAGUUGACCGCCUGGGGAGUACGGUCGCAAGAUUAAAACUCAAUGAAUUGACGGGGUCAUAGCUGUUUCCU